CGCGCAGCCCGGAGCAGAGCGUGAGAGGGGAGGAGCGGAGCCGGAGUUAAAGUAGCCGCGCACUGUGCGCGUGAGAGACACGGAGCAAAGCUUCCUCGCUCGGGCAUCUCCAAGGUUUCCGCCUGGGAGCGCAUCCACGGCACUGUCAACUUCGGCACGGCAUCGCGAAAGACAGACACCAGCCACCCGCGACAGGAGACACUGGCGCCGGAGAACAUGCUGGCGUACUUUGUGCCGCGCAGUUAAACAGCAAAAGGCACUGAAUGAAGAGCGCGCGCACACCCGAGCGACGGAGCAAAACAAGGACGAGCGCAGAGGCUUCGGGAACACUUCAGGAGGAGCACCUGGCUAUACUCAAAAGAUCUCAUUAGACUGUGAUGAGCGUCAUCAUCUUCCACAGACUCAAGGUACCACAGUAUCUGAAAAGAUCUGUUUUUUUUAUUUUCUCCCAUCAAUAUCCAUCAAAAAAAAAGCCAAAGAGAUGAUAUGUUAUUUCAUAAGUUGUUGUUAUCUGAUCUUAUUCAUUCCUUGUCAGAUUUUAUAGUCAUAGCUAUUAUUUUGUUAUUUUGUUUGCAGGUUGGAUUUUUUUUUUUUCUAUCUCAUUUUGCAUCACGCUGUUGUGCAUGCUAACUUCAUUUUCCUUAUUUUUCGCCUCUCCCGAUUGCUCCAGCACUAGAAAAGAAAUCAUUUGAUUUAUAUCUUACGAUGCUUAUGUGAAAUCCAGUCUGUUUUCCUGCCCCAUAGUAGGAUUUGUCUUCAUGUCUUCCUGUAAAUGCCAAACCGUCCACAAGUAUAAUUCUAUCACCAGGCACUUACACAUUUUGUACUCGCACAGCUAAAGAUCUGUAAAAGGUCAUGUUUAGAACAUCAUGAAUGUCUGAACCUUUGCUCCUGCGCCCAUUAAGCAGAAUUCAUUUAAACUGGGUCAGCCUACUGUGAUGCCUGUUCAAUGCAGCAUGCAGCUGGGAUUUUCAGUAACCAGCCAUAAUAUGCCUCAAGUGUUUGUCCAAGGGGUUGUGUUAAUGCUCAGUGUUUCAAGUAUAAAUCUUAAAAACAACAGCAACUGAGUUUUAAGCUUUCUCACAGUGUCCUGGAUUCCAGGGGCUCUCAAACAUUUUGCAGCCAGAGGCUCUUUUGCUGCAAAAAAAACCCAAAAGCAAAACAACAACCACCUUAGUACAGAUUUAUUUUAGGCACUAUGCACAUAUUCAGCAAAUUAUUCAAGUGUGGCUAGUUAUUGGCACUAUUUAUUCCUGAACUUUCCAACAACAGAUCACACCAGGUCCAAGUUGACAUUAUUUAUAGGCCUAUUUGUUUUUCAGUUAGUAAGGUUUGGAUUAGUAAACCCAUUUGAUUCAGCUGACCAGUCAAACGGACCAAUAACUAUAAAAGCUCAAUAAUAUUUGACUCUGAUAAUGCUGGAUUGUAAUUUCCACCCCUGUAACACGAUGAAAAAAUCUCCAACCCAAAACUUUGCUUCACAGACCCCCAGUUUGAUAAUCAAUGCUGUAUAACAUUACUUUGAUUUAGAAGGACAUACACACUAUAGAAUGUCUUAAGUUUGCAGACACCUGACCAUCACACCACAUAUGUGGUUCUUCACCAAACUUUUGCCACAUAGUUGGAGACACAAGUGUGUAGGAUGUCUUUGUAUGCUGUUGCAGUAAGAUUUCUCUUCACUGGAAUUAAGGGGCCCAAACCUGUUCCAACCGACAAUGCCCCUGUGCACAAAGAGAGCUCCAUAAAGGCAUAGUUUACCAAGGGUAGUGUGGAAGUACUCGACUAGCCCGAGCCCCGACUUCAACCCCACUGAACACCCUUUAGGAUGAAUUAGAACGCUGACUGCAACCCAGGCCUCUUCACUUGACAUCAGUGCCCAACCUCAUUAAUGCUCUUGUGGCUGAAUGGGCAAAUCCUCACAGCCACGCUUAAAUCUAUAGGAAAGCCUUCACAGAAGACUGGAGGGUAUUAUAACAGCAAGGUGACACUAAAUCUGUAAUGCCAUGUUCAAAAAGCACAUAUGGGUGUGAUGGUCAGGUGUCCACAAAAGUUUUAGUCAUAUAAUGUGUCAUGUACAUUCAAUUAAAGACACAGGAAUGAUAUUCAUGUAUGUCUGCUGUUCAUUAAUAAAAAGUAAAGAAUAACUAUGGGUAAUAAAUUACAAGUGGGGAAUAGUUUCGACAGCUUGGAUUUUAAAUUCUUGCAGGGUGAAAAUGUAAUGGUAAAGCUAUUUCUUUUACUCCGUAAGCAUGAGUGAUGAAUAGCAUGUGCUUACAAAACACAUUCAUAGUAAUUCACAGCUCACGCUGGCAUAUGUGCUGUCAAUGAGGCUUGACUGGUCUGUUGCUAAGACCAAUGAGGUGUUUACUAGCGAUAUACAGCAGAGCCAACAACAGAACCACAGCUGCUUUUAUCAACUCCAGUGUUCAGGAGAACUCGUAUUAUUGAGUGGGCUGUAUUCUUUGAAGUUUAUGAAGUCUGCAUUUAUUUAAAAAAAAAUUGACAGAAGUAUGCUUUUGUCUAAAACAUCUAGCUUUCUAGCUGUUCUGGGUUUUCAAGGUUCUGAACAACCACUGCCCCUUAAAACAUGGAUCAUAAAUUCUCUGCAAAUCAGAAGUGUAGACAGUUAUUUUAUUAAUAGCUCAAUGUCCUCGGUUGAAAAUUGCAUGCAUAAUGUGUAUGAUUUGCAUAGACAUCAUUAUUUCCUCUUAUUUCCUCACUCCUCUAAAACAGAACGUGGUCUGGUUUAACACUGCCAUUUCCUUAGACCGCCAUGCUUACAGCGCGCACACACAAACACACACACACACACACACAUCGUGAUUAAGACAUGUCAAGCCCCGGUGGGUGUGGGUGGUGCAGUGUCAUGUCGGCCCCCUGGGGCGUUUUGUCACAGCAGGGGUCACACCAUGCCAUCACGUCUGGCCCAUUGAGCCUAAUAUGUGUGAGUGAAUGAGCUGCACUCACAGGCCAUCAUGAUCAAGUACAGCAUAUGAGCGUGUUUAAAGGCCAUUAGGCUUAGUGUUGUGCAGUGUAGUGCCAUUUGAGAAAGUAUGAAGUGCAAAAAUAUCCAGGCGAGUAUACAGCCUCAGAAUCACAACCAAGAAAUAGGUUCUGACACAGACCUAGUCACACUGUUUUUGCAGUCUGAUGUAUGAAGAGCUAAAGUGAAAUAAUUCAAAAUGUUUGAAGAGCAUAUGUUGGUUGGUUUUUUUUUUUUUUUUUUUUUUUUUUUUUUUUUUAAUUUACCCUAUACAAUGAUUUGCCCAUAAUUUAAUUCCAAGGUUUACAUAGAUGUCCAUUGUAUUUUUUGUUUUAAACAUUUGUUAAUAGGUCCAGAUUUUCAGAUUACCUGAAAGUGAAAUCAUGGUGCAUUGUUUAAGCUAAAACACAGUUCUUGGACAGUGAUGACAGAAAUCACAGAAAACAUUGCUGCAUUAUUAACUAUGACUAUACUAGUGCUGCCAAUAUUCAUUGUGGAUUAGAAGCAGUAUGAUUUGAAUAUGAUCGGAGGAUAAUGCUACUUGGCCAUAGACUGAAUUUUAGCAUGUAAACAUAGCAAUAAAAUUAAAACUUCAGUAAAGUAAAAAGUAUAGAAAAAGCUUCAAGUCAAGACAGGACGUCUGAUGGAUAACUGGAUAGGCUGCAAAACCAUACUUGCACAGCAUUUUAAUACAUAUUUGAAUAAUCAGGUUGUUUAUGACAGAAUACUUUCAAUACUGACUUAAAUGUAGCUUGAAUGGUGGCUAUAUACAUGCAGACAGGAGGCAAAUUAUAGGAAAAAACAUAAAGGGUCAUAGAAAAAUAUUACUGUGUAUUACUGUGUACCGCACCUUAGUGAUGAACAUAAUUCUCCCAAAAGAUAUUCCCUCAGAUUGUGUUUUGAUGAUAGUGGUGGAGACCACUGUUACACCUCUCCAAAAUCUCACAUACAGGUGCAUCUAAAAAAUUUUGAAUAUUGUAGAAAUAUUAGUAUUAAUUUUGUGAGAUGCUGGAUAUUUGUUUUCCAUGAGCUGUAAGCUGUAAAGAUCAAGAUUAAAACAAAAAAAAGGAUUGAAAUAUUUCACUUUAUGUGUAAUGAAUCUAGAAUAUAUGAAAGUUCCAUUUUUUAAAUUAAAUUACGGGGGGGG
ensembl:lncRNA